ACUACCUUGUGUGACAUCUUUAAGAUAACCACUCAGUCAAGGCGGAAAAUUUCAGCCUGGAGGUUACAUGUUGGUAAAUCUACCAGCAAAGAAGUAACAGGCAGCGCAUGAGGCUCACCGAAAAAGGGAAAAGUUGUCAAAACCAUGAGUGAAACCAAAAAACAGAAGUCGCUGUGAGGCAGCAAAACCCAAUCUCAUCCCCCGGGUCACGUUUCGCCGUCCCACCUGGAGCGAGGCUGCGGUGGCUGCACUCCGGCUGCUGCGCGGCUGCGGGCAGAACCCUCUCGGGCAGGAGUUUCUCCACGAUCGGCGAUGCCUCACCAAGAAAAACACUGGGAGUCAGACGUUAGAGAACCCUGAAUGAAGUUUGUGGAGCAAAGCGUCUCAAAUUGUUCCCUGGAUCCACAGCAGCUGCUAGAUCCUUCCUGUGGCACAAAUGGACUCCACACUGAUGCUCUUACAGUGCUUCUAGAGUGACCACCAAGUUCAGACUCAGCCUUGAUAUUCAUAUCUCAUUUAUCUUCAAUUUUGAACAGGUUUCUAAGUUCUUAACCUUGUUAUUACAAAACUUAUGUGACCUAUCCUUUCUAUCUUCUAAUUAAACCAACAUAAACAAACAGCUGGCAGUCACUCGUAACAAGUAGAGAAACAGCACAAAAAGCCCCAGUAAAUAUCUCGUUGUCUGCAAUGAAAAUGCUACGGGCUCUUGUUUAAAAGAUGCUCCUAAAUAUAUUAAACCUAAAUAUAUUAAACCAUGAAUAAAUGUGUGAAAGAAAUAGUAAUAAGAAGUCAUAUAAAAAGCAUUUCAGCCUGCACCUUCAGUGGGCUAUUUCUGCAGCUCUUUGACUUCUGCUGCUUUUACUGGCAUUGGCUCAGUCCCCAGCACUGUGUGUCUGCUUGAGCUCUAACAGCAGAUGGCAGCUUACUCGAAAAUAGAGGGGCAAAAAGGAUUACUACAGGAGAAAACAAAGCAGAAAGAUCACUGGCACGCUCUGCCAGCCUGCUGCUGUUGGCAAGGUCACAUCAUUGAUCAACAGCAAAAUUCAGCCAUGAGCGAUCUCUGUGCUUGCCUAGGCUGGGGAAGUAAAGUGCUUUGCUUCUCUGUGUAGCAUUUACAGCAUAAAAGGAGCCUGGUCGCUUUUUAAAUAAUACAAUCGACAUUUCAUCGAGUCACCAGCGUAUAUGACCUGUCACUUUACAGUCACAGCACAAGCUCAUUGCCUGCACAAUGCUGCAAACACUGGUGUCAACAGAUCUGCCUCAGCUCCCUGUUCACCCUCCUCUUGAGAUUCGUCCAUGGCCUGAUGAAGAAGGGAAAGAGAAGCAAGGGUAAUUUAAC